rfam:Peptococcaceae bacterium CEB3 CEB3_contig000060, whole genome shotgun sequence.
GAAGUGACCUGCCCGGUAAAGUCUGGUCAACAGCCGGAAGCGAGUCUUGCAUGUUAGGAAGCAAUUUCUAGCGUGAAGCGUAGACAGUGAGUGCAAAAGCCGUGUGAUUGAGCCUCGAAAAGUUUAUCGCUGGAGCCUCCGUUUUUCAGAAGGCGGGGGCAGGAUAAUGGUACUGUAGUGACCUGGUAGCGUUAUCCGGUCGGGGUCGGAGAGCA